rnacentral:rRNA from 1 species
UACGAAGGGGGCUAGCGUUGCUCGGAAUCACUGGGCGUAAAGGGUGCGUAGGCGGGUCUUUAAGUCAGGGGUGAAAUCCUGGAGCUCAACUCCAGAACUGCCUUUGAUACUGAAGAUCUUGAGUUCGGGAGAGGUGAGUGGAACUGCGAGUGUAGAGGUGAAAUUCGUAGAUAUUCGCAAGAACACCAGUGGCGAAGGCGGCUAACUGGUCCGGAUCUGACGCUGAGGUGCGAAAGCGUGGGGAGCAAACAGG